rnacentral:rRNA from 1 species
UACGUAGGUGGCAAGCGUUGUCCGGAUUUAUUGGGUUUAAAGGGUGCGUAGGCGGCACUGUAAGUCAGUGGUGAAAUACUCUAGCUUAACUAGAGGGGUGCCAUUGAUACUGCAGUGCUUGAGUGAAGUCGAGGUAGGCGGAAUUGACGGUGUAGCGGUGAAAUGCUUAGAUAUCGUCAAGAACACCGAUAGUGAAGACAGCUUACUAGACUUAUACUGACGCUGAGGCACGAAAGUGUGGGGAUCAAACAGG